AUUUUGAAUUUGGAGCGUGAAUUGUUUCUCCCGAUCUGCUAAGCCUGUAAAAGGGGAGAUCAUUUGCAUCAAAAUUAUGCUUGAACACUGUGUUCCCAAAGUGGUAUCAUAAACGGAUACAGAUGUUUACCUCCUCUUCCACUUCUUUCUUCUUCUGCUACCUCUUCUCUUCAUUCUAUUAGAUUCUUCAUGCAUUUUCAUUUUCAUCUAAAGAGAAGGAAGUAUGAAAUUGCUUUGCUGAAGGGAUAAUUCGAACUCAAAGAUACAGAAAUUGUGGGAGAGAAGAAAACUCAAGGAGCUAGGUUACUAACGUAGUGGCAACCAAGCUGAGAUCUCUCUAGCUAUCUCUGCCUCCCAUUUUUCUUUGCUCUGCUUCUUUUUCAUGGCUUUUCGUAGCUUACAGAUCCCAAUCUACAUCAAUGUCUUCUAGAAAACCUGAUAACCCUCACUCCGGCGAUGGUGUCAAUCCCUGAUUCAAAUAGAGCAUAAAUAUAAUCAACCUUUUUAUGUACAAGUCUGUUAUACUUAUUGCGGUUCCACAGGUAUUUGGCUCGCAUCCCUUGUUCUUUAGGAAGGUUUUGUUACAAGAAGGGCACCCAAUCGUUGCUGCUGCAAUGCUGUCUGUUGAGGAAGCUUUGAAAAUUGUAAGAACUGCUCAAAGAAUUUUUUCCUUCAAAUACCUCUUAUAUUUUCAGUAAUAAACAUAUUUGCUUUAAAAAAAGUAGUUUUGGACGAACAUUUUCACGAUUAUUUGUUGAUAUUUGAGUCAUUGAGAAACAAAGAAAACUUUACUAGACUAGAGGAGCCUUUCUCUCAUAUUUUUAGUUUCAUUUUGUGGAUCAAUGGCUCAAAUAAUGGGUUUGACAUCUACUUUAGUCCUCAAGGUAGCUUUUUAUGAAAUUUUACA